UGCCGCAUUUUCCGUUUAGUUUUGAGUGUGACGCGUUCGGCUUUGGAUCUGUUCCGCGGAAAUGGUCGUCCCCAUUGGAGUGAUCCCCGUGGGGAGUUCCUUUGAAGGUUUUUGUUUUGUGCCUGUAACAGUGCCAGUGCCUAUGCCAGUGCCUGUACCCCCAAUACCCGAAGAGGAAGGGGAAGUGAGUGAUUUGUGUUUUUUUUUCGUGUGUGCGCGCUGUCGUCAUCGUCUGCGUCGACGCUGCUGCAGCCGUUGCUCGGGGCUUUGAACUGUGGCUGGCGCGUUCAACUGUCGGGAAGCGUGUAACUCCGAAACGAACCGUGCCCGUUCGUUCCAUUAUCGCUCGAGCGGCUCGCCUGAUAACUGUCCCUCUCCUCUCUCUCUCGCUCUCUCCCACCCCCUGGUCGACCACUUCCAAUCAGUCAAUUGUCCUCCCUUUCCCUUUCCCUCCUCCAUCUAAUGAACAUUGAACUGCAAAUUGCAAAAACGUACGAAAAUAACAAACAAACGAAACGACGCCGUCGCUGUCGCUGACUGUUCUAGCGGGACUCCGCGUCGCUAUACUCCGCGCCCGCGCUGACCAUAUCGUUGGGAUGGGGUGCAUUCACCUCCGUGCCCAAAACUCUCUGCUGCUGCUGCGCCCACGUCGCUCUAUCGAUGAUGUCUCCUAUCUGCCAGAGAUCACUGUAAAUCUUGGAAAUUGACUCUCGGAUCAGCACAAAUUUGUCUGCCAUAGGCGGAAUUAAAUACCGAAAUCUGCUCCGAUCAGCUACACCCACGAUCAGGGAUCAGGGUUCAGGGAUAUAAUGCACAUACAGAUACGUUUGCAGAUACAUUUGUAGCUGCAACUUGCUGUCACAAUAAUUUCUACAGCAUUUUACUUUCACGAAUAGAUUUAAUAAAAUUAUUUAAAUGGAUGUAAAUUGAUUAAUGAAUUUGGAAAAAUAAAGGAAUAAUUCUACUCUAAAAGAAUAAAGUGACGAAACUCUGUAUGUGGAUGCCCUUCAAUAGCUACAAGGCUGCAGGCUGGGCUUUUUUUUUUCUGAGUAAAAUCUCACUAGCAUAGAGCAAGCGGUAAAAAAGAAAAAAUAGAUAGUUGGAGAGACAAGAAAAUCCACCCAUAUUUUACUGCGAAGAUACUCUUGGAGAGGUACAUUUAAAUCGCUUUACUGCCAAGCUACUGUGUAAAAGAGAGACGUUUAGUUUCCUUCGUACCCGGCAUAAUAGUGAACCCCGAUCUGCCAGCAGUUUGAGCAGCCAUUGAGAGUGUGUGUUUUACUCACCUGCUUGAUCUGCGUAUAUCCUUAUGGCAGCAAACGAAUGCUGCGCAAUCAGAAUGUGAAAUCUGGUAAAUGGAAUCUGAAUCUGAAUCUGAAAAGAUGCAGGAAAUAAAUGUUGUUAAAGGGAAACCGUUUAAGCCUUGAAAUUACGCUAAUUAAAUGGAUUUUAAAGAGGAAUAGAUACGAGUAAUAAUAUUUAUCAUUGGAGCGGUGCAUAUACGAUUUUUAUACUCUGCCACCCGGCCAUCCGGCCACCCAUCUCCUGCCCCCGCCUGCCACGCCUGCUCUUGUGGCAUUUGUAUUGGUGCCACGUGGCCUGGAGGCAGCAGCCACACAGCAGGAGGCGGAGCAGCAGUGGUGCUGGUUUAAUGCAGAGUCUCCUCUACUCUACGUUCA